rfam:Triticum aestivum genome assembly, contig: Triticum_aestivum_CS42_TGACv1_scaffold_571056_7AS
UAAAUACUCCCUCCGUCCGGAAAUACUUGUCAUCAAAAUGGAUAAAAGGGGAUGUAUCUAGAUGUAUUUUAGUUCUAGAUACAUCUCUUUUUAUCUAUUUUGAUGACAAGUAUUUUCGGACGGAGGGAGUAUCAC